UAAUGCGGCGACGCGACAGGUUCCCAGAGAUGGGAUUAAUAGGGAACGCGGAAGCAGGUAUCCACCCCUGUAAUCCGCGGCUGUCCCCGCAACUGUGACCGGAGAGCGGUCGCCCUAUCAUGCCACUGGAUGCAACCGCAUCCGGGAAGGCGGGGCGGACGUGUUGACCCGGGAGCCAGGAGACCUGCCUGACGCAGUCGGUCCUU
rnacentral:ncRNA from 2 species